UCCUUGGUGGUUCAGUGGCUAAGUCUUUGCUCUUUCAAUGCAGGGGGCCUGGUUCAAUCCCUGGUCAGGGAA
rnacentral:tRNA from 1 species